rnacentral:rRNA from 1 species
AAUUUCCAUGAGGGACCGACCCGCCCUCCCGUGAAAAAGCGGCGGAUGAACUUUGGGUAGCGAGAAAUUUCCAUUCGAACCGGGAGAUAGCUGGUUCUCCCCGAAAUAGUUUAAGGACUAGCCUCAAUUUAGAUACCGGGAGGUAAAGCACGGAAUAGCCUAGCGGCCGAGAGGUUAGCGAAGCUUAUCAAACUCAGAAUGCCAGAGUAUUGAUGCUUGGGAGUCAGACAGUGUCAGAUAAAUGUCAUUGUCAAAAGGGAAACAGCCCAGAUCUACAGCUAAGGUCCCAAAGUCAGGUUAAGUGGAAAACGAUGUGAAGAUACGUAGACAACCAGGAUGUUGGCUCAGAAGCAGCCACUCAUUCAAAGAGUGCGUAAUAGCUCACUGGUCGAGCGUCUUUGCGCGGAGAAUUUAACGGGGCUAAACCUGACACCGAAGCUUAGGCAGCAUGAUUACAUGCUGGGUAGGGGAGCGUUGUAUACGCGGUGAAACAGUAGCGCAAGCGGCUGUGGAGUGUAUAGAAGUGAGAAUGCCGGAAUGAGUAGCGCGAAUGCAGUGAGAAUCUGCAUGGCCGAAAGCCUCAGGUUUCUGGAGGAAGGUUCGUCCGCUCCAGGUUAGUCGGGAGCUAAGGUGAGGCCUAACGGCGUAGCCGAUGCACAGACGGUAGAGAUUCCGUCACCACCAAAAGAGUUAAACACAGGGACACAUAUGAAGUCUCGGAGCCGGGUGUUGGUUCCGGUAGCGAUCGAGGGAAGUUAGUACCGAAGUCCGAGAUGGAAGAUGGCGAGAAAAGCUGUGUGUAUUUCUGCGGUGCCCGUACCGCAAACCGACACAGGUAGGUAGGAAGAAGAUUCUAAGGCCAACGGGAGAAGGGUUGUUAAGGAACUCGGCAAAUUGACCCCGUAACUUCGGGAGAAGGGGUGCUGCAGCAAUGCAGCCGCAGAGAAUCGGCCCAAGCAACUGUUUACCAAAAACACAGGUUUGUGCUAAAUCGAAAGAUGACGUAUACGAGCUGACGCCUGCCCGGUGCUGGAAGGUUAAGAGGAGAUGUGCAAGCAUUGAAUCGAAGCCCCAGUGAACGGCGGCCGUAACUAUAACGGUCCUAAGGUAGCGAAAUUCCUUGUCAGGUAAGUUCUGACCCGCAUGAAAGGCGUAAUGAUUUGGGCACUGUCUCAACAGCCCGCCCGGCGAAAUUGUAGUACCGGUGAAGAUGCCGGUUACCCGCGACAAGACGGAAAGACCCCAUGGAGCUUUACUGUAGCCUAAUAUUGGGUUUCGAUGUUGCAUGCACAGGAUAGAUGGGACACUGGGAAGCAGGUGCUUUGGCGCUUGUGGAGUGGCCGUUGGGAUACCAUCCUUGCGAUAUUGGAAUUCUAACCUGCGCCUUUGAAUCAAGGCGGGGGACAUUGUUAGGUGGGCAGUUUGACUGGGGCGGUCGCCUCCUAAAGAGUAACGGAGGCGUUCAAAGGUUCGCUCAGCUUGAACGGAAAUCAAGCAAAAGAGUGCAAACGCAGAAGCGAGCCUAACUGCGAGACUGACGGGUCGAGCAGUAACGAAAGUUGGAGUUAGUGAUCCGGUGGUAUGUGAGUGGAAAUGCCAUCGCUCAACGGAUAAAAGUUACCCUGGGGAUAACAGGCUGAUCUCCCCCAAGAGUCCACAUCGACGGGGAGGUUUGGCACCUCGAUGUCGGCUCAUCGCAUCCUGGGGCUGUAUUCGGUCCCAAGGGUUUGGCUGUUCGCCAAUUAAAGCGGUACGCGAGCUGGGUUCAGAACGUCGUGAGACAGUUCGGUCCCUAUCUGUCGUGGGCGCAGGAUAUUUGAUGGGAGCUGUUCCUAGUACGAGAGGACCGGAGCGGACGUACCUCUGGCGCACCAGUUGUUCUGCCAAGAGCAUAGCUGGGCAACUAUGUACGGAUCGGAUAAACGCUGAAAGCAUCUAAGCGUGAAGCCGACCCAAAGAUAAGAUAUCCCAUUGU